AUGAACAAGUGUCGACGCCGAUAUCCUGUAUCCUGCGGACGAAAUCAACAGGAUCAGCCCAAAGGUGUGAUUGUUUGCUGGCCGUCACUCAAAAAAGUCCAUAACUGGGCCACAUUGAAGCUGAUCGUCUGGUUUGCGGCCCAAGCCUUGUACUUCCUGUACAUCACCGGCAUCCUACCCAGUGGCAGAUCGAUUCCUUUGAAAAGACCGCCUUGGAGCUUGGAGCAAAGGGCCAAGGUGUCUUUGAAAAAAAAUUCUGUUAUCGAACAGGACUGGGAGUCAAUUUAAUAAAGCGCUUAAGUCUUUAACUAAUUCAAUUGAGCUCACUCCAAGUCGUUUGGGCUUCAGUUUGCCCAGUUGAUCGUCAUGAAGGAGCAAACUAACAGUAAAUCGCAGCUAAACAACCAAAGAGAGCAAGAAGUAGUGGAACGAGGGACGUUCUCYCGGUGGCUCAGCUCUGAGGAGGGUUUGGAGAACCUCAAACUCUUUAUCAACACGCUGCUUUGUUUUGUGCUUGUGUGCUAGCCGCAGAUGAAGUAAGUCCUUGAUGCCGCUUAUUACAUCUAUUUGGACUUCACAACUAAAAAAAAAACCCGUUGGAGGAUGUUGUCUUUAUUACGCUGCUUGCAGUUCUUGUGCUUUAUGUGCUUCUACACCCUGGGGACGCUCAAGGUUAUAGAUGAAUUCCUCCGAAGCAGAUUUAACGAGUAUUUAGUUGCGAACCAAAAUCUUGCUAAUGGAGUGAGUGACCAACCUGAAGGUGCGGGCGAGUGCCAUUUAUGCAGCUAUGCAAGGGCCAAAGCCCAAUAUCGCUGCCCAGUAAUUUGGAGCUGAUUUUACGUAGGUUUUUCAAUAUAUCCCCAAAGUUUUGCUAUUUUUAGUGUUUCACUUACAUCAAAGGUCUGCGAGUUGCUUUAGGAGCUUCUCUGGUAAUUCACUAAACAUUAUAAUUCAGUCUUUUCUUGCCUAUGAAACUAGAAAAAUUUUCGUUAGGCGACAUAAGCCCAACGCAAGUCUUUUCCAAUUAAAGCACACAUUUUCGCAGUUCGGCAUUUUCAGUUUUCAAAACUGACUAAUUUUUUUAUACAUGGUGAUUCACAGCGCAUGGUGCAUUAGACGUUUAAGGAGAACUCGAUGUACAAUCUAUCUACAAAUUGGUACGUUAAACUUAAACGUAAAAUACGUUUAAGUUUUAAGAGAAAUACUUGCAAAGUCAGAGAUGUUAAGUAGAUCUGCGUUGUUAAAUCCGCUAAAUUGUCUUCCAAGUCGUCUAUUUAGAUUUAAUACGAGUGAUUUUAUGGCCGACUCUCUCAAGCAACCAGAGAUCUAUCGAUUAUAAUACGGCACAACCAAAAAAUGAAAUUACAUUCUAAAUUUUUGCCUGAAUAGACUAAUAUCGAGUGGUUAUUUUAUACAAGAAUAAUAUAAUAAAUUAGGGCAAAUGAGAGUAUAAAAUUUUACUAAAUUAUAGGUGUUAAUCUGACGCCAGUCGAGUGCUACAUCAACAUCCAUUAUGCCCCAUAUGGGUUUUUCCAGUUGAUUUACAUUAUCUUUUUUUUUUUUUUGGGGUACUGCGGGCAACCCUCCAGCUAGCUGGGUGUUCCUCAGUCCCGCAUAGUGCGCACUAGCUGUUGCGCUCUUCUUCUGCUCCAGGCUUUGCUAGCGGGCAUUCGCUGCUUCUGUCGUUUUCACCACACUUGGCACAUCUGGGCUGGAAUGUGAAAUUCCGCUGCGAGUGCCCGUACCUCUGGCAGCGGUAGCAUUGCCCUGAUUCCUGGGGCUUCCUCUUGGCCUCGAUCUUGACCAUUACUCCGAACAAUCUGGACACCUUGACACCAGAUACUCUUGUUGGUGGUCUUCACCAAGACCAGUGCCAAUCGCUGCUUAGUUCGUCGGCUGAGCAUCUGGAAUGCUUCCGCAUCCCCCAUGCCCUGCUCCCGCAGUUCAGCCUCAAUUUCUGAGGCAUCGUAGUCGUUAGGCAGCCCCCUAGUGACUACGUGGAUUUUCUUCUCCUCUGGUAGCGUGUAUGUGGAAUACGGCCGCUGGAGUUUUUCCAGGAGCUAGGUGGUCUUCCUGAAAUCAGAGGGGGAGUUAACGAUUAGGCUUAUUCACUGUUUCGUUGUUGUGGCUUUACUCACAACAAUCCCUGUUUCGCUUAGGUCUUUGCUGAUCUGUUUCCAGCUCUGGCCCUCACGUUGUUUGGCGGAAAACUUUCCGCCUUUUUGCUGGUAACCGGCGUGUCUGUUUCCAUCCCGGUUUCUUCCUCUAUUACUGCCACCUCUUCUGCUUCUUCCCGCCUAUGCUUCCUGCUUUCCUGUGAGGCAGGUGGUAGGGUGGCAGUGGCUGGGGGCUUGCGGGAUGGCCACCGCUGGCUUUUUUCUAGCAGCAGCCUUGGGGGCUACCGCUAGACUCUUCUUGGACCCCUGUUGUUUUGGGGCCGCUUUUAUUGCUGCACUAAAGCUGGCCGGAUUCCCCUUUGGUGCAUCAGUCGCCUUUGCAGCAGCUCCUGCAGGUCGGAGAUGCUCAGCGAGCAGUUGCCUCAGCUUUCGGACUCCGUUCAGAAGCUCAGCAAUUUGUCCCCUUUGCCUCUCCACUUCCUGCUGAAGCUUCUUCUCCAGCACUGUUUUCGGCUCCAUUUCAAGCUUUCGGUAUUGAGAAAUACCGCCUAAUUUAUUGUGGUAUUAAAAAAUAGCUAGUGAUCCUGUGGAAAAAUAGUGAUUAAUAUCGUACACAGUUGAACACAAUUCACUUAAUCGGUUUAAACUGACUGCUUCAAGCGAAUCCUCGAUUGAAACACGACUGACCAACACAAGCGAACUCGACUCUCGGGUAGUCUGUGAGCAACUGCCGAGGUGUGCUAUAUCUCCGUUAUCCGUCAGUUAUCUAUCAAACGUUAAAAAGGAAAAAAUAUGGGUGCAUAAAGUGAGAUGCCCUUAUACGAAUAGUCUAUUAGUUAGAGAAAGAGUUAACAUCAAACCAUCGAAGGUUCUAAAACAUAUGCACCACCGCCACAUGUGCACGUGUUGACCAUUUGGGCCACUUACUUCCAUGCUUGUCUUUAUUUAUGAUUUACAUUCACUUUCAAUUUCGUUCGUUAUUGUUCUUGACCUAUCAUCUCAAACACUUUCAAUGUAGCAUGUACAGAAGAGGCACAAAAACAACCCGCAAACUAUUUGAAAAUUUAGAAGAGUUUGUGGAGGAAAAUAAAGUUUAUUUUCAAGACCAUUUUCCAAUUGUUCUAAUGAAGGUAACCUUAGUGGAUUACCAAAAGACACAUUUUUCUUUUAAAUUAAAAACAAAUUAUAGCUAAGAGACAAAACUACGCUCUUGUUUUAUUUAUUCCCCGAAGUUAACUUCGAGGGAUGCACGUUAAGUUCGAAAGCGGCAUGUGAUUUGAUGCUAUUAUUCUGAAGCGCUAUUUCUUCAUAUAACGUUCGUCGAUAGCGUGCGCCUGUUAUAAUAAAAAGGUUUUACUGAUAUAACACACCAGUUGGAGCCACAUAGCUCAUUUGACGGAUAACAUGCACGUUAAAGUUAACGUGAGUGAUACAGCUCAGGGUUGAAUAUAUUACUAUGGGAUAGGCAUAAAAACUUGAAACAUUUCUCACAGUAAUAUAUUGUCUUGUUCCUUGUCUUCCUUGUCCUUCCCGUCUUUGCACCUUUUUCUGGUGCCCACUGGUGGUCGAGCAGGAUGAUCCUGUGAAGUUCCAGCAAUCUCUUGGCGACGUUAUUUUACUUGCUGUGGUACGUGUGAGCAUAGAACAAAGUUUUAAAUGAUCUGCUAUAAGGUCACGUGCUAAAGUUUUUCAAAAUUGUCAUCUCAGUUUAUUUACUGCUUGAUUAUUUCCGAUAUGCACUAUCUGUGAAUUAAUACCUUCUACAUUCAUUCAUGAAUAUAGCACCAGCAUUGGAGAACUCCUUGUAUUUCUUGCACAAUUUUAAGUUGCACAUAAUUUACCGACUACAGCUACUCCAGAUUUUGUAGAAUGUGAUGAUCUCCGGUUUACUCUUUUCGUGAGUGGUCAAGUCUAUAGCAUCAUCAAAAUGCAUACUUGAAAUAGGAUAACAUUUCUACAUUUUCGGGGAAUAUAAGAUACUAUUGUUUGAGUUUUUUGAAACCCAAACAUGCUAGAAUAAGCUAGACGGGAUUUGGUAUUUACAAAUUCCGGUGGUAGUUCUCUUUUAUUUUUUCGCAUUGUUCCAUUGUUGGCAUCAAUAUGUUUGUUGGUAUUUUCUACUAUUGAAAUUAACAUAUCGUCAGUAAAAAAAGGUUCCAGUACUGCAAAGGAGACUUUGCGGAUGUUGCAACUCCUUUUACAUCGGGUAAAUGUACUAAUAAAUAGAUUUUUUGGGCGAUGCUUGUUCCACAUUGUUACACCAUCCCUAGCAAGAAAUUGAGGUCCCAUAGAUAUUUCUGAUUCGCUGUGAAGUUCUGCUUCCUGCUCGCUCUCAGAUUCUUCUUCCCUGACUUCCACAUUGUCAACUAUAUCUUCAUCUUCAUCAUCAUCAGCAGGCUUUUCGUCAGUUUCCAUUUCAUUCAAAAGCCGUAGCUUCUCUUUUUCAUAACUUAUCUUGCACCUAAAUUAAACAAUUCUAGUAAAUAAAACCUAUGGUAGUUGAUAGAAAACAACAACUGACCAGACAGAUAUUGAAAGCUGAAAAUUUUACAACGGUUGCGCCGGGUCUGAUCAUAAAAUUUUACACACAACCCUAAACCAAAGCGGUCAAACAAAUAACUGAAUACUUAUUUAAUAUCUGCACCGAAUUCUUCAAAGCUACUGUGAGUGGGAGAUUUCGCGGGGUUGCCAGGUUUCUCAUUUUCGUUACUCUCUUUCUUUGGGUCUGUCAGACCACCCGCGACUACUGAAAGGUUAAAAGGAAUGACGCCAAUUUUGAAUCACCCUGUAUAGUGCCUAAAUUCAUGGAAAAACAAUUUAAUGUUUUUUAAAUUUCUUAAGCAUGCAGCCUGUUUAAAAUCAAAAUCAGAAAUUUUGUGGGAAUAUAAUAUAUUAAAAACAUCAUUGAUUCAUAAAAUAAAUUUUGCAGUGGGACUACAGUUCGCAACUUCUGGAAGAUGUAGCUUACCUCUACAAUGAAGUAAUGCCUAAACCGAACGGCUUAGCAGUAACGCAACUGCAAGUUUAACUUUCAUUUUUUAUUUAAGAAAGUUAAUGUGUUUUCUUAGUUUUGUUCCAAGGUGAAGUCCCCCUCUUUAUUGUAAUUUAUUGAACUCUUCAACAAAUGCAAAAUUAAUUAUUUUCCCAUUAAUGUCUCUAAACCGUUUUUUUUACCAACAUAAUUUUGUACCAAUUUGGUCAUGUGAAAGGUCGGGUAAUAAAAAGUGUUUUUCACUUUUAAAUGUAAAGUAAGCUUUAACAUUCGUCUUAUUGAAUUGGCAAUUCAAUAAAUUGCACAUACAAAAAUUAGCUGCACACUCAUCAAAAGUAAUGUUACUAACAGUAACUCCGACUUGUUCUAACAACGUUCUAACAGCGUUUUUCCUAGGGGGACUUUGUUGGCUAUUAAUGCCUGCAAUAAAAAUUAAGCUAUUGGUAAUUUCCAUGCUUCAUUCACGCAAACCAGCAUGAAUACCGGAGCUUCAGUGGCUAACUCCUUAGUGUCUCCCUUCAAACCAUUACCACAAUUCACC